GAUGAACGCUGGCGGCGUGUCUAAUACAUGCAAGUCGAGCGAACGGACGAGAAGCUUGCUUCUCUGAUGUUAGCGGCGGGCGGGUGAGUAACACGUGGAUAACCUACCUAUAAGACUGGGAUAACUUCGGGAAACCGGAGCUAAUACCGGAUAAUAUUUUGAACCGCAUGGUUCAAAAGUGAAAGACGGUCUUGCUGUCACUUAUAGAUGGAUCCGCGCUGCAUUAGCUAGUUGGUAAGGUAACGGCUUACCAAGGCAACGAUGCAUAGCCGACCUGAGAGGGUGAUCGGCCACACUGGAACUGAGACACGGUCCAGACUCCUACGGGAGGCAGCAGUAGGGAAUCUUCCGCAAUGGGCGAAAGCCUGACGGAGCAACGCCGCGUGAGUGAUGAAGGUCUUCGGAUCGUAAAACUCUGUUAUUAGGGAAGAACAUAUGUGUAAGUAACUGUGCACAUCUUGACGGUACCUAAUCAGAAAGCCACGGCUAACUACGUGCCAGCAGCCGCGGUAAUACGUAGGUGGCAAGCGUUAUCCGGAAUUAUUGGGCGUAAAGCGCGCGUAGGCGGUUUUUUAAGUCUGAUGUGAAAGCCCACGGCUCAACCGUGGAGGGUCAUUGGAAACUGGAAAACUUGAGUGCAGAAGAGGAAAGUGGAAUUCCAUGUGUAGCGGUGAAAUGCGCAGAGAUAUGGAGGAACACCAGUGGCGAAGGCGACUUUCUGGUCUGUAACUGACGCUGAUGUGCGAAAGCGUGGGGAUCAAACAGGAUUAGAUACCCUGGUAGUCCACGCCGUAAACGAUGAGUGCUAAGUGUUAGGGGGUUUCCGCCCCUUAGUGCUGCAGCUAACGCAUUAAGCACUCCGCCUGGGGAGUACGACCGCAAGGUUGAAACUCAAAGGAAUUGACGGGGACCCGCACAAGCGGUGGAGCAUGUGGUUUAAUUCGAAGCAACGCGAAGAACCUUACCAAAUCUUGACAUCCUUUGACAACUCUAGAGAUAGAGCCUUCCCCUUCGGGGGACAAAGUGACAGGUGGUGCAUGGUUGUCGUCAGCUCGUGUCGUGAGAUGUUGGGUUAAGUCCCGCAACGAGCGCAACCCUUAAGCUUAGUUGCCAUCAUUAAGUUGGGCACUCUAAGUUGACUGCCGGUGACAAACCGGAGGAAGGUGGGGAUGACGUCAAAUCAUCAUGCCCCUUAUGAUUUGGGCUACACACGUGCUACAAUGGACAAUACAAAGGGCAGCGAAACCGCGAGGUCAAGCAAAUCCCAUAAAGUUGUUCUCAGUUCGGAUUGUAGUCUGCAACUCGACUACAUGAAGCUGGAAUCGCUAGUAAUCGUAGAUCAGCAUGCUACGGUGAAUACGUUCCCGGGUCU
rnacentral:rRNA from 1 species